GAUUAUGCUGAGCUCCUAAACCACUUCCUCCUACCACUGAGACCAGGGACAGACAUUAGUCCCAUUUGUAACCUUUCUGGGAAGAUAAAUGGGUGUCCACCUCCACUUCUUAUUCCCUCUUUCUUGAGAGAACAGCUGAGUCACCACAAGGAAGCUGUUACCUCCCCAGGUCAUCAAUAAAUCACUUUUUCCCAACACCAUCACCACCCCUGGGCAAAGAGUGAUCAGGAACUGUGACUCACAGGUGUGUGGGCCUGAAUCUCAACAGCUCUGUGAGCUUCUCCUACAAGGAUUUGUUUGUGUAGGGACUCAAAAAGCCUUGCCUAAAGUCACAGGUGGCCCACUGGAAGGACCUUACCCCUGGAUGCCAUAUUCCCAUCACAAGGUGAUUCAGAGAUAAUUCUUGCACCUAAACUACCUUGCUCCAUAUGGAUAAAGGAAUUCUUCAUGAGUCCAUACUCUGAGGGAACAGAGGCACAGUUUUAAUCCUGACACAGCACUAUAAAAGAAUUCCAGACAGCUACCUCAGAUAGUGUGCUAGAUGGAUGGAUCUUGCUGUGGAAAGACUGACACUCAAGCCCUGAGGAAGAGCAAGGAUAUACAGUUUGUGGAAGUAAUUUAACACUGAAGAGAGUCGUGUAUUUGACACUGUACUAUGUGAUAGCACCAUAUUCUGAGAGCAGGAACUGUCACGAGCCAGCCUCUGCCAGAUCCCAUCUCUGCACCCAGGACCUGACAAGAAUUAAAUAAGAAGUAAAGCUCAGGUGUCCUCUGCACUCAGAAGUGCAUAGACCCUGCUGUGCCCUACCAUGAUCCACUGUUUGCAACGAGAAACAAACAGAGACACGUGAAGAGGCGGGGAUGGCUUUUCUGAAGAGUGAUACCUCUGACCAGAGUCCAGGCUGGAGGUACUGAGAUAAAUCUAGUCCUGGGCUUUCCCACUGACAGUGUCUCCAGAACUGCUGGGGUGGCACUGAGAUGCUGCUGCUCUUCACACCAAGUCUCUCAAAAGAGAAGAAAA